UGGGGAAUAUUGGACAAUGGGCGCAAGCCUGAUCCAGCCAUGCCGCGUGUGUGAAGAAGGCCUUUUGGUUGUAAAGCACUUUAAGCGAGGAGGAGGCUACUUGGAUUAAUACUCUAAGAUAGUGGACGUUACUCGCAGAAUAAGCACCGGCUAACUCUGUGCCAGCAGCCGCGGUAAUACAGAGGGUGCGAGCGUUAAUCGGAUUUACUGGGCGUAAAGCGUGCGUAGGCGGCUUCUUAAGUCGGAUGUGAAAUCCCUGAGCUUAACUUAGGAAUUGCAUUUGAUACUGGGAAGCUAGAGUAUGGGAGAGGAUGGUAGAAUUCCAGGUGUAGCGGUGAAAUGCGUAGAGAUCUGGAGGAAUACCGAUGGCGAAGGCAGCCAUCUGGCCUAAUACUGACGCUGAGGUACGAAAGCAUGGGGAGCAAACAGG
rnacentral:rRNA from 1 species